UCCGGCUUGUCACCGGCAGUUUCCGUAGAGUCCCCAGCAUAACCUGAUGGUAACUAAGGAUGAGGGUUGCGCUCGUUGCGGGACUUAACCCAACAUCUCACGACACGAGCUGACGACAGCCAUGCAACACCUGUGUAUACCCAACUAAAUGAGGAAUUCAUCUCUGAAUUCCGCUGUAUACAUGUCAAGGCCUGGUAAGGUUCUUCGCGUAGCAUCGAAUUGAACCACAUGCUCCACCGCUUGUGCGGGUCCCCGUCAAUUCCUUUGAGUUUUAAUCUUGCGACCGUACUCCCCAGGCGGGAUGUUUAACGCGUUAGCUUCAAUACUGAGAGUAAACCCCCAACAUCUAACAUCCAUCGUUUACAGUGUGGACUAC
rnacentral:misc_RNA from 1 species